AAGAAGCUCAUUUGCAGGAGGGGGGACACGACGUCGUUUGGGGCGGAGAAAGAGAAGGGAAGAGAAGAGAAAUGCAGCAGAGUUGGUUCUGGGGAUGGUUUUUCAUCGGAUCGGGGUCUCUCUUCUUUGUGGGGUUCCUCUACGCCACCAUCUUCUCCAAGCUUCUUCCCCCAUCCGAUAAUACCAUCAUCUCUGCCAUCCAAAACGACCGGUAUUAUUGCUUCUUGGUGCCACUGACUCUCCCGGUCCUUGUGGUUGCCGUAUAUUUUCAUUGGCUCAGCAUGAAGAUGUUCAAACAUGCCUGAUCUUCAGACAAGAUGUAGCAGUUUUUAACAAGCAAAUCUUCUCAAGUUCUGCUAAAGGAAGGGAAGAAGGAGAAAGCAGUUGCUGCUAAAGAGACGAGGAAUGAGAUAGAGUAGGUCUGAGAGAGUUAGGAGGGAAAAAAAAAAGGCUGAAAAAUCAGAUCCUCUCAACUGCUAUGAAAUUUUAUAUUGGUUACACCUGAUGUAUUUGAGUUGCUGUAAUGAUUUCGCCAAUUUAUAUUAGUUAGUAGUUGACUGUUACAUGAGUUACAUACGUAUUUCAAAUUUUUGUA